ACACACACACACACACACACACACACAGUGAACAGUCAGUUUGAUGAAGUCAUGACUGUUAGUUUGGUUUCAUUCCUCACCGAGCCAGUACUCUCCAGCAGCGAUACCAAAGCCGGUCU